UUUAAGGAUUGUCACGUGCCAGCAGAGAAACAAGUUCAGAAUGACUGAAUCUAAGGGAAUAGGGAAGAAUCAGAAGACGCAUAUUAAAUACACAAGUGAAGCAGUCUGUAGAUAUACAGUCAAGUUUUAAUGGAAGAAUCAGGGGAAGAGGCACAAAUUGGGCAGUCUCCAGCAUAUCCAAGAAACACAGCAUAGAAGGAGAAAGGAAGAGACCAAGAUCUAAGCCAUUAUGUAUUCCAACAUCUAAUAGGCCAACCAAGAAGGAACCAGCUCAAAGGUGAAGAAGGAAUGACCAAUGAGCUCUAUUGCCUUCACAUUACAAAUGGAGAAACGGAGAUUCUAUGAGGAUCAAUAAGGACUCAGCUCAUCUGGCUUAUAACAGACCCAGCAAGGAUGAAAACCCCAGGGCUUUUGAUUCCAGAGCGUGGGCUCUUUCUAUCACACCAGUGGUUCCCAGACACAUAUGCCACAGGCCAAUCAAUUAAAAGCAAACAAAAAAUUGGCAAACAGAAGUAGAGCUAACAACUUUGGAUUUUGCCAGGAAUAUAAAAAAGUAAAAGCUUCAGUCUUCUACCACCACCAUUUCAUAAUAAAAUGAACACUUCAACCCAGAAAACUUUGCAAAUAUCAAAU
rnacentral:lncRNA from 1 species